AUUCCCUAAAAAACACGCAUCUACGUUUCCGCCGUGACAUCCCCAUUCCCUAAAAAACACGCAUCCACGUUUCCGCCGUGACAGCCUCUAGAACUACUCAACUACUGCUUCAUCACUAUCCGACGCAAAAAUCUGGAUCUAAACUUUCACUCGAAAUGAGAAGGAUUGGCGACGGAUCGACGCUUGGCAAGAGAGGGGGAUUCGUGGGGCACCAUCGGAACCAGCUGAAGCAGACGCUCAGCGGAGGUGUCAAGGGCCUGUUUGGGAAGCUGUCGGUUGCGGUGAUCGUCCUAGUGAUUUGCACCGUCUCGUUGUUGCUCACCGUUAAGAGUAACAACAGCAACAAUCAGCAUUCUUUCUUUCGAUCGAAACAGAUCAAUCUAGAGACACUAUGGGGAACUGCUGCAUCUGGUGGUUGGCGGCCAUCAUCUGCUCCGCGAUCUGAUUGGCCGCCUCCUCCGAAAGAGAGCAAUGGCUAUCUACGUGUUCGUUGUAACGGUGGUCUGAAUCAGCAACGCACGGCGAUCUGUAAUGCUGUUCUUGCUGCCCGAAUUAUGAAUGCUACACUUGUGCUGCCGGAGUUGGACGCAAACUCUUUCUGGCAUGAUGACAGUGGUUUCCAAGGUAUCUACGAUGUUGAGCACUUUAUCAAGGCAUUGAGGUAUGACGUGCGGAUUGUGGAGAGCAUUCCUGAAGUUCAGAAGAAUGGGAAGACCAAGAAGAUUAAAGCUUAUCAGCUUCGACCCCCUAGAGAUGCUCCAAUCCGUUGGUACACAACAGAAGCUCUUGAGAAGAUGAAGGAACACACUGCUAUCUACCUCACUCCCUUUUCACAUCGCUUGGCAGAAGAGAUUGAUAACCCUGAAUACCAGCGGUUGAGAUGCCGAGUUAAUUAUCAUGCGCUCAGAUUUAAGCCCAACAUUAUGAAGUUAAGUAAUUCAAUAGUCAGCAAACUUCGUGCAGAAAGCCACUUCAUGUCAAUACAUCUUCGGUUUGAGAUGGAUAUGCUGGCAUUUGCUGGGUGCUUUGAUAUAUUUACAACUAAGGAGCAAAGUAUAUUGAAGAAAUAUCGGCAAGAAAAUUUCGCGGAGAAGAAGCUUGUUUAUAGUGAGAGAAGAGCCAUUGGAAAAUGUCCAUUAACUCCAGAGGAGGUUGGUCUCAUAUUACGUGCAAUGGGGUUUGACAAUUCCACGAGGAUAUACCUUGCAGCGGGUGAGAUAUUUGGCGGUGAGCGAUUCAUGAAACCUUUUCGCUCUAUGUUCCCUCGCCUUGAGAACCACAGCACAGUGGACCCCAGUGAGGACCUAGUGGGGAACAAUCGGGGUUUGUUAGGCUCUGCUGUGGAUUACAUGGUUUGUCUCCUCUCCGAUGUUUUCAUGCCAACGUAUGAUGGCCCAAGCAAUUUUGCCAAUAACCUCCUAGGGCACCGUUUAUACUACGGUUUCCGCACCACGAUCCGGCCUGACAGAAAAGCCCUUGCUCCUAUAUUUAUCAAUCGGGAAAAUGGGCAAAUGGCUGGUUUUGAAGAAGCUGUUAGGCGUGUGAUGCUUGGAACAAAUUUCGGUGGGCCUCACAAGCGGGUCCCGCCCGAGUCUUUUUAUACAAACUCCUGGCCCGAGUGUUUCUGCCAAACAUCACCACAGAAUCCAGCUGACAAGUGUCCGCCUGGGGAUGUCCUGGAAGUGUUGGAGAGCAAAUUGGAGAGAAACGAACAGUAACUAGAAACCUUGAUGACUAAUCACAUCCAACUCUGAAUAUAGUGAUGGUGGUCAUACUAAUCCCUCAGUGAUGCAAGACUGGAGACUGGAGUGGUUUAGUUAUUUUUAUCGGCUUCUUUCAGGUCCGUUGGUUUUUCAGUUCUCCAUGGCGGUACGGACACAAUUGUCUUUCGGAUGGCUGGAUUCACCUUAACGGGGGAGUGGAGUAGGUGGACUCUUAUAAACGGAGAUAAGGCAAUCUGUUUAUUCGCCUGAAGCAUGCAGGGACCGCAAUGAUAUUUCUGUCUGUAUCAAUAUUUGUCUGUAACAUGUUUCUAUGUAAAUUAUUGAUCCUAGUAUAAACUUAAAUAGAAAAAGAUCCAUCUCUGUUAGAUGGACUUUCUCCCACAACUUUAUGAACUUAUAUUUCUUGUUAUUGUGAGACUUGCACCCCUAAA